UUUUCCAGCGUAGGUCGUCAAAUAAUAUUAUUUCAAGUCGAGACGCAGAAGAUAUCAAGAAUCCUAGCUUCGAAGGAGAAAUAUAUCUCGAGUCGCUUGAUCGAUCACCGACGAUCUUCCAUACGGAUGUAUGUGACACAAGGUUUAUCUAACGUUCGCGAUAUGUGACUCGAAGCUCCUGGUGCGUGACCACACGGUACCAGCCCAUAUUUAUUUACAGUAUACUCGGAAGUCGAGCCUUUCCUACACAGACGGCUGUUGCAUCGCGGAAAUGCAUCGUAUCCCUUCGACAGCGCAAUAAGCUAUGAUUUCCAUGCAUAAUGUGGGAUCAAGUCGAGACGGAAAUAAUAGUAGAGAUCGGCACGCGUCGCCGUUUCGAUUUCCAUUCAAAUGCAUCUCGGUCGCGUCCCGAUUAAACGAGGCAUUAAAAUGCUCGGUUCGGGGGUCCAGCCGUACGGUCUAUUGAACAUUAAAUUUAAGCAGCAGCUUCCUGCGUCGCAGAUCCGUCAUGUGUAAAGCGUGCGUGGAGAACGUUGCGUUAUAUCGUCAAUGCACAAAGCAGAGAUUCUAACAGAGAAAUAAUUUGUAUGCGCGCGCGCGCGCGCGUGUAUACAUGGACCGAUGCUGUUGAUCGCGAGCGAUCAACUUCCUCGCAAGAUCGCCAAGUGAAAAGCAACAAGAAAAGCAAUAAGAUAUCUUGUAAACCUGCAACGCAACGAUUAGAAAUUAGAAACUAAUCCAAGAAAAUUGACAAUCACCAUCGAAAGUAAUUUUCAACUUAUAAAGAGAGACUCCUGCGAGAACUUGAGGAAUGCAAUGAUCGAGAUAAAGAAUAAAUAGCGAAGCUCUACAGAGCUAAAUAGAUCUAAUAAGAAUAAUUAAUUUAUUAAAAAAAAAUCAAAAUUCCAUAUGUUGGAAAUAAAGAUUAAUUCCUAUUUUCCAUAUUCAGCAUAUUCGUGCUGCAAAUGCCUCUUCAUUCACUGCAUAAAUUAUAAAAUUAUACUGAAAUAUAUGUACGCCCUACGUAUUUUGCGCACGUAAAGUAUUAAUGGCUUCCGCGCGCAUCGAAGCAUCGGGCUGCAUUUCUAAUCGUCAUCUCGUCGCGAAUUUUUCAGAUCAUGAGCGCAAGAAGUAGCGACUGGGAUCGACUGCAGCCCGUGUGGAAUAUAGAAAACAGUGUAGAGAAUUGAGUCAUUAACCCGUGAUGUGUAAUAAGAGCCCAGUGUGUGAACAAGCGAGCGAACGGGCGAACGAGUGGGCGAGCAUGCGAAAAAACGUACGAAGUGAAACGCAAAACGAAAUAACGGACAUACGAGAGCGGAAUGUGUUUUGUAAGAACGAAAACGUUUAGAAUGAGACAGCUGAAGUUCGUGAAAUGGCGUAAAUAACGAUGAUAUAAACUUAAGGGAAUCGACAUAAUAAUUUGAUACUUUAUAAUGUUUAGAUUUAAUACAUUCUGUAAUUAAUUAUGCGAAACUUUCGCGUGUUAUCAGUGAGAUUUUCUAUAAAUGCAUAAAUAUCAGCAUUGAAUUAAAUUUCAAUCUAGUAUAAGCACCAUAAAGCACGAUGAAAUUAAACUUAAUUUAAAUCCAGAAUCACUUUUUCAUUAAUUAUGUAAUCUGUUAUAUCUUGUAACCUCAAUCUUGUUUCUUUAGCUAGAUAUCCCAUGAUGUAUAGAUAUUAGCGUUGAAUUAUAAAUUCGAUUUAAAUUUAAAAUUAGUAUAAAAUUAAGUUUAAUUUAAUCUAGAAUAACUUUUCCAUUGAUCAUGUAACCUAUUAAUUAUCUUGUAAUCUUAUUCUUGUUUUAUUUUUUUUUAACGAGAUUUUCCAUAAUAAAUACCAGCACUGAAUUAAAUUCAAAGUAAAUUGAAAUUAAGUUUGAUUAAAAUCCAGAAUCACUUUUUCAUCACAUAAUCUAUUAAUUAUCUUGUAAUCUUGUGUCGAGUAAAGCUGUCAAGUUUUCAGAUCAGCUGCUUUGCAACAUCGCCAUUUUCUCCAACACCAUUCACGAUACACGGAUGUUUGAACACGAUGCAUCUGGAGUACACCAAGAAUUAGUGCGAUUCCGUGUUGUGGCAUUCACGACGCAGAAGGUACCAAUGUAGUCGCGCGUGGGUGGAAGGAAGGAAAACGACGUAGUCGUUCUUUAGUUCCCGACGACGACACGAAAGACCGCCACUUUGCAGCAGAACUCGAGCCUGUUACCGACCAGCUGUGGCCCGGGCUCGAAUACGAAGUUCUAUAGCCGAGUUGCUAACGGCACCAGCACUGGAACAGCUGGGAUACACUGUUCGACAAGGUUGAGCUAGGUAACGUUGCCCCGGAACAUUGCAUAUGUAUAUUACACUGUAACACGCACGCCUGCGUACAGCACAUCGUUGCUGCGAAGAUGCCAAUAAAGAGGAAGAGGAGGAGGAGGACGGCGAAUUGAGUCCUCCAUGGAUCAGCUAGAUAGAUUGCUCCGUGACUUCGCACUUAUAUAAAUUUAAAAUCGUACAGUUAUCAGCGAACAGAUCGGCAAGUCUUAAUCGUCAAGACACGUCGACCGUUUCGCAUAAAUUAAAUUACAGAAGUAAUUAGGAUGUAAAACACAAUUUGAUACGAUUCUAAAUAAAUGGCAUAAAGAAAUCAA